UACGUAGGGGGCAAGCGUUGUCCGGAUUUAUUGGGCGUAAAGAGUGUGUAGGCGGUUAGGUAGGUCCGUUGUGAAAACUCGAGGCUCAACCUCGAGACGCCGAUGGAAACCAUCUAACUAGAGUCCGGAAGAGGAGAGUGGAAUUCCUGGUGUAGCGGUGAAAUGCGCGGAUAUCAGGAAGAACACCCGUGGCUAAGGCGGCUCUCUAAUACGGUACUGACGCUGAGACGCGAAAGCGUGGGGAGCGAACAGG
rnacentral:rRNA from 1 species